UACGGGGGGGGCAAGCGUUGUUCGGAAUUACUGGGCGUAAAGGGCUUGUAGGUGGCCAACUAAGUCAGACGUGAAAUCCCUCGGCUUAACCGGGGAACUGCGUCUGAUACUGGAUGGCCUGAGUUUGGGAGAGGGACGCGGAAUUCCAGGUGUAGCGGUGAAAUGCGUAGAUAUCUGGAGGAACACCGGUGGCGAAGGCGGCGUCCUGGACCAACACUGACACUGAAAAGCGAAAGCCAGGGGAGCAAACGGG
rnacentral:rRNA from 1 species